ensembl:snRNA U2 U2 spliceosomal RNA
AGCGCUUCCUGACCUAUUGGCUAAGAUCAAGUAUAGUUUCUGUUCUUAAUAGUUUAAAUAUCUGAUAAAAAUUUUAAAAAGAAUAUUAAAAUUUUAAGUCUCGUGCUCUACUGACUCAGUUAGCUGGGCAGCCAGGUACAGUGGCUCCUGCCUGUAAUCCUAGCACUCUGGGAGGCUAAGGUAGGUAGAUUGCCUGAGUUCAU